rnacentral:sRNA from 1 species
AAGUUUCAGGUUGGCGCCUCCAGGUCGCCACGGCACACGAAACAGCGUUGGUCCCCCUAUAUGAGCGUACAUAAGCUGCUUAACGCGGCUGACAGAAUGCUACAUAUAUCAGGUCUGUUUCGUGUGCUGAAUUGUUGACGCAUUUAUUUAUUGGUAUCGCAUGAACCCCAUCGUAAUUAAUCGGCUUCAACGGAAGCUGGGCUACACUUUUA